rnacentral:rRNA from 1 species
ACAUGCAGUCGAACGAAGGCUUCGGCCUUAGUGGCGCACGGGUGCGUAACGCGUGGGAAUCUGCCCCUUGGUUCGGAAUAACAGUUGGAAACGACUGCUAAUACCGGAUGACGACGUAAGUCCAAAGAUUUAUCGCCGAGGGAUGAGCCCGCGUAGGAUUAGGUAGUUGGUGUGGUAAAGGCGCACCAAGCCGACGAUCCUUAGCUGGUCUGAGAGGAUGAUCAGCCACACUGGGACUGAGACACGGCCCAGACUCCUACGGGAGGCAGCAGUGGGGAAUAUUGGACAAUGGGCGAAAGCCUGAUCCAGCAAUGCCGCGUGAGUGAUGAAGGCCUUAGGGUUGUAAAGCUCUUUUACCCGGGAUGAUAAUGACAGUACCGGGAGAAUAAGCUCCGGCUAACUCCGUGCCAGCAGCCGCGGUAAUACGGAGGGAGCUAGCGUUAUUCGGAAUUACUGGGCGUAAAGCGCACGUAGGCGGCUUUGUAAGUAAGAGGUGAAAGCCCAGAGCUCAACUCUGGAAUUGCCUUUUAGACUGCAUCGCUUGAAUCAUG